GGCUAAGGAUGACUUUGAACUUCUGAACUUCUGCCUCUACUUCCCAAGUGCUGAGUUAUGGAUACAAUGCCUACCUUGCUCAGUGCCACGGGGUUGGAACCCAGGCUUUGUGACUAGGUUGUCUCUGGUCAUGGAGUUUCAUCACAGCAAUAGGAACCCUAAGACAUACAUACCUGUAAUCUGGAAUUGGACGUGGGAGGACCGAGAGUUCAAGGUCACUCUUGGUUAUUUAAUGAGACUGAGCCGCCACACAUUUGGAAAACUUGUAUAUUUAUGUAAAGCUCCAAUAUCCAGUCUCAAGGAUGACUCAGUAUGGUAAAGACCCUCGCUGCCAGGCUUGAUGACUUACGCUUGAGUCCUGGAUCCCACAUGGUGGAAAAGUCAACUUUCACAAGUUUUUGACCUUCACAGUAGUCACAUACAAACAACAAAACCCUAGUUUGGGACCGUAGAGAUGGCUCAGCCAUCGUCUGUUGAGAGCCCUUCACAUAGCUUCUCACAACUGCCUGUAACUCCUGUUUCCAGGGAGUUGGUGCACAUGUAUAACAUGUGCACUCAUACACGUGAAAAUAAAUGGAUCUUUAAAAUACAAAAAUAAAAACAAAGUUUUAGGUUGGUCCUGU
ensembl:lncRNA